rnacentral:rRNA from 1 species
AUACGGAGGGUGCGAGCGCUAAUCGGAAUUACUGGGCGUAAAGCGCGCGUAGGCGGCUUGGUCAGUCGGAUGUGAAAGCCCCGGGCUUAACCUGGGAACUGCAUUCGAUACUGCCAGGCUAGAGUAUGGUAGAGGGAAGCGGAAUUUCCGGUGUAGCGGCGAAAUGCGUAGAUAUCGGAAGGAACACCAGUGGCGAAGGCGGCUUCCUGGACCAAUACUGACGCUGAGGUGCGAAAGCGUGGGGAGCAAACAGGAUUAGAAACCCUAGUAGUCC